CGUCGCUGCGUCACGGCUCGCUGAGCGGAAGUCACUCUGACGCGCUUGUUGACAGGUUCCGGCCCGCGCUCUUCCGCUCUGCUGUGCGCCUCAGUGUCAGAUUGCGAUUAUUAGUUAUCGAUUAUUGGCAUAUCAAUCUGUAACAUCGACGACUGCAGCCGCAGCUGGACCCGACCGCAGCGCUGAACAUGAUAAAAGCCAUUCUGAUCUUUAAUAAUCAUGGCAAACCACGAAUGUCAAAAUUCUACGAGCAUUACACCGAAGACACAGAACAGCAGAUCAUCAGAGAAACCUUUCAUCUGGUUUCCAAACGAGACGAGAACAUUUGCAACUUCCUUGAGGGCGGACUGUUAAUCGGCGGCUCGGACAACAAGCUGAUCUACAGACACUACGCCACGCUUUACUUUGUAUUCUGCGUGGAUUCGUCCGAGAGCGAGCUGGGCAUUCUGGAUCUGAUCCAGGUGUUCGUGGAGACGCUGGACAAGUGCUUCGAGAACGUGUGUGAGCUGGACCUGAUCUUUCACGUGGAUAAGGUGCACAACAUCCUAGCGGAGAUGGUGAUGGGCGGCAUGGUGCUGGAGACCAACAUGAGCGAGAUCAUCACGCAGGUGGAGGCGCAGGGCAAGAUGGAGAAGUCUGAGGCCGGGAUCGCGGGGGCUCCGGCACGCGCCGUGUCAGCCGUCAAGAACAUGAACCUCCCAGAGAUGCCCAAGAACAUCAACAUCGGGGACAUCAGCAUCAAAGUGCCAAACCUGCCGUCUUUCAAAUAGUGAACGCUGCACGCCUCUGAAACUGUGUUUACCAGAAUCACACAGAUCUUGUGUUGCAUCACAGACGAUGAAGGAACUGUGUGAUGCUGUCAAUGAAGUAUUUGAUUCUUCUGUCCUCUGGGUGUCUCGCUGCCGUGUUGGAGGUCACGCGCGUGCGUGUGUGUGUGUGUGUGAGUGUGUGUGUGAGUGUGUGUGAGUGUGUGUGA